GAAGCAGGACAGACAACCGCUGCUCGCCCGGCAACGGGCGAGGGGAGGAAAGUCCGGACUCCACAGGGCAGGGUGGUGGCUAACAGCCAUCCACGGCAACGUGCGGAAUAGGGCCACAGAGACGAGUCUUCGCGCCGGGUUUUGCCCGGUGCGAAGGGUGAAACGCGGUAACCUCCACCCGGAGCAAUCCCAAAUAGGCAGACGAUGAAGCGGCCCGCCGAGUCUGCGGGUAGGGAGCUGGAGCCGGCCGGUAACGGUCGGCCUAGAGGAAUGGUUGUCACGCGCGCGCGGAUCGCAAGGCCCGUGCGCCGCGCACAGAAUCCGGCUUAUCGGCCUGCUUCGCUU
rnacentral:RNase_P_RNA from 1 species